GUCCACGCCCUAAACGAUGCUUACUCGACGUAUGAAGCUAGUCUUUGUGCGUCCAAGGGAAACCGUUAAGUAAGCCACCUGGGGAGUACGACCGCAAGGUUGAAACUCAAAGGAAUUGACGGGGUCGCACAAGCGGUGGAGCAUGUGGUUUAAUUUCGAUGAUACGCGAGGAACCUUACCUGGGCUAGAAUGCGAGUGACAGGCCGCGAAAGCGGUCCUUCCUUCGGGACACAAAGCAAGGUGCUGCAUGGCUGUCGU
rnacentral:rRNA from 1 species